rnacentral:rRNA from 1 species
GGUCUGGUUGGGCGGUCUGCCUGUUGGGUACGUACUGUCUGGCCGGAUCUGACCUUCUGGUACCGCCAUGUUGCUUUGCAAUGUGGAUUGGGAUUCCAGAUCUUUUACUUUGAAAAAAUUAGAGUGUUUAAAGCAGGCAUUCGCUUGAAUACAUUAGCAUGGAAUAAUGGAAUAGGGCUGCUGCCCCAUUUUGUUGGUUUCUGGGACCGUAGCA